rnacentral:rRNA from 1 species
UCCUUAGUAAACGGCGAGUGAAACGGAAAGAGCUCAGCGUCGAAACUGUGCUGGCUUUGCUGGCACCGUAUUGUGACGUAUAGAGGUGAUCAUGUGCGGUUUGCGGACUUUACGAAUUCUCUUUGACUAGGGAUCCAAAGCGGGUGCGAGACCCGUACGUAUUGUCUGCUUGUCGUACGCGUUUGCUUCUUGGAGUAGGGUUGUUUGAGAUCGCAGCCCAAAGUAGGUGGUAUACUUCAUCUAAAGCUAAAUACGACUACGAAUCCGAUAGCAAACAAGUACCGUGAGGGAAAGUUGCAAAGAACUUUGAAGAGAGAGUUCAAGAGGACGUGAAACCGAUAGGAUGGAAGCAGAUGAAGUUGACGAACAGGUGUCGUAUUCAGGGCUGUGCCUUGUGUGCAGUCUGUUUUUGCGACCGAUGUGGGCCGGCGGCUUUGGUCAAUGCACUGUGUCAAGCGGCGAUGGAGACCCUGCGGAGGGAUCAUCAGUCGUCGUACGAUGCGUGGUAUGGCUAAAGUUUCGCCGGUCUUGAAGUCAGCGCCUCAUCUGACCCGUCUUGAAACACGGACCAAGGAGUGUAUCGUUUACGCAAGUCUUAGAGUGUAUCAAAACUUUGAGGCGAAACGAAAGUGAAUACAGUUUAAUCUGUUGACUUGGGAUGCGUUGUCUCUUGUGGACGGCGCUGGACCAUGGUUAUAUCGCGAUCGCUUGCGAUGCGGUGUAAAUAGAGCGUAAACGGUGCGACCCGAAAGAUGGUGAACUAUGCCUGAGCAGGAUGAAGCCGGAGGAAACUCUGGUGGAAGUCCGAAGCGGUUCUGACGUGCAAAUCGAUCGUCUGACUUGGGUAUAGGGGCGAAAGACUAAUCGAACCAUCUAGUAGCUGGUUUCCUCCGAAGUUUCCCUCAGGGAUAGCUGA